GAUUCUUUCUUGGUCUGUGUGGCUGCUUUCUAUAUAGGGGGAGAUCAGCAUCUCCUGAUGAAGAGAAACUCAACAUUUUCAAGUUCUAAGGACAUCCGGGUGGCUUCCGCAAACUAAAAUGUAUACAUGAAGACAUCUAAUAAAGCUUUGACUCUGAAGCCCAGGGUAGAAGUUUCAUUUCACCACCAAAAUGUUGCUAACUUCUCCUCAAUGGCACAGCCCAGUAGUGCAGAAAGCAGCCUUCAACCCAAGCGUCAGAAGCAUAAGAGCUCCUGCGUGCUAGGAUCAGCAGAAGUCCGUGCAGCAUUUCAAUGUGUCGUUACUGAAAGUGCUAGCUUGCCAGACUACAUCCAUCCUCCCAAACGCCUAAGGUGCACAGUACCCAUGCUGCCUUCUUCUGCCGAGAUUAGAUAAUGUCAUUGAGUUCCAUGGGAGACAGUAGAAAGUUCGCAGUGAAGUGUCUCAUGCCUACCUUGAGAAUCAUCUUCUUACCUUCCAGAAAGCAUUAUACGCUAGAAAUCCAUGACUGACAAGGACCUUGGACAGCGCAAAUGUACCCUUCACCUCCACUGCACCUACCUGAAAAGAUCCUUGAAAAACAAUGAAAAAGGAUCCUGUGGACCCUUGGGCCCCUUA
rnacentral:lncRNA from 1 species